rnacentral:sRNA from 1 species
UGAAUAUUGUGCCUGUCAUUGCAAAAGCUGACACUCUCACCCUGAAGGAACGGGAGCGGCUGAAGAAAAGGAUUCUGGAUGAAAUUGAAGAACAUAACAUCAAAAUCUAUCACUUACCUGAUGCAGAAUCAGAUGAAGAUGAAGAUUUUAAAGAGCAGACUAGACUUCUCAAAGCUAGCAUCCCAUUCUCUGUGGUUGGAUCCAAUCAGUUGAUUGAAGCCAAAGGAAAGAAGGUCAGAGGCCGCCUCUACCCCUGGGGUGUUGUGGAGGUGGAGAACCCAGAGCACAAUGACUUUCUGAAGCUGAGAACCAUGCUCAUCACCCACAUGCAGGAUCUCCAGGAGGUGACCCAGGACCUUCAUUAUGAAAACUUCCGUUCUGAGAGACUCAAGAGAGGCGGCAGGUCAUCACACUGUGCCCCUUUCUCUGUAUUGUGUCACCCUGAGCCACAAUGUUCCUCCUCCUCUAUGUGUUCAGCUCAGCCUUCUUGACCAUUAAGCAACAUGGUUUGGUUUCCUACUCAAAAGUUAUUAUAAAAGAGUUGUUAAUUUAAUCAAAUUAUGCUCUUUUAGCCUUAAGAAAAAGUACAUUUAAUGAUAUGCACGUAAAAACUUUAGGCCAGGCACGGUGGCUCAUGCCUGUAAUCCCAGCACCUUGGGAGACCAAGGCAAGGUAGAUUGCUUGAGCACAGGAGUUUUGAGACCAUGAGAUUACAUGGUGAAGUCCCAUCUCUACAAAAAUUAAAAAAAAAAA